rnacentral:rRNA from 1 species
AGCGAACGUUUGCGGCGGGCCUAACACAUGCAAGUCGAACGAGAAAACCUUCGGGUGAGUAAAGUGGCGCACGGGUGAGGAACGCGUAGGUAAUCUACCGUUUGGCGGGGGACAACACUCCGAAAGGAAUGCUAAUACCGCGUAAGACCACGGCUACUAAGGUAGCAGUGGUAAAAGGUGCCCUUAAAGCACCACCAAACGAUGAGCCUGCGUCCCAUCAGCUUGUUGGUAAGGUAAUGGCUUACCAAGGCUUAGACGGGUAGCUGGUCUGAGAGGAUGAUCAGCCACACUGGUACUGGAACACGGACCAGACUCCUACGGGAGGCAGCAGUGAGGAAUAUUGGGCAAUGGGCGAAAGCCUGACCCAGCCACGCCGCGUGUGUGAUGAAGGCCUUCGGGUCGUAAAGCACUGUGGGAGAGACGAACAAGCGCAUCAGGAAAUGGGUGCGCCCUGACGGUACCUCCUUAGCAAGCACCGGCUAACUCUGUGCCAGCCGCCGCGGUAA